UACGUAGGGGGCAAGCGUUGUCCGGAUUUAUUGGGCGUAAAGAGCGUGUAGGCGGCUUUACAGGUCCGUUGUGAAAACUCGAGGCUCAACCUCGAGACGCCGGUGGAAACCGUAAGGCUAGAGUCCGGAAGAGGAGAGUGGAAUUCCUGGUGUAGCGGUGAAAUGCGCAGAUAUCAGGAGGAGCACCAAUGGCGAAGGCAGCUCGCUGGGACGGUACUGACGCUGAGACGCGAAAGCGUGGGGAGCAAACAGG
rnacentral:rRNA from 1 species